rnacentral:rRNA from 1 species
AGCGAUGCGGUCGAGCCCAAUGUUGUAAGAACCUUGACAGCGCAGUGACUAAUUAACGGCCGCGGUAUUUUGACCGUGCGAGGUAGCGCAAUCACUUGUCUUUUAAUGAGACUGUAUGAUGGUGCACGAGGCUGACUGUCUCCCCUUCGAGUCAAUGAAAUUGAUCUGCCCGUGCAGAGCGGACAUAAAAAUACAAGACGAGAAGACCCUUUGGGACCUUAAGAUACAGAUCAACUAUGUUCUAGUACCAAAAAGUUAAACUAAAUAGCAACUGAUCCCCUAUCUUCCGUUUGGAGCAACCGCGUAUGAAACAAGGCUCCACGGGGACGGGGCAACCCCUGAACCAGAUAUUUUCUAGUCACAGUAUCGACCUUAGAUCCGCCGCGCAUAGGCCAGUUACCCAGGCAUUAUAGUCACGAGCCACAUACUGGCACUAGCUUCCGAGCCAUCCAGAAGUUCACCCAUGUGUACGAGCCCUAGUGACGUUUAGUCUGGUCACAGUAGAGACAGC